AAUAGAUACCCGGGUAGUCCACACCGUAAACGAUGAGUGCUAAGUGUUGGGGGGUUUCCGCCCCUCAGUGCUGCAGCUAACGCAUUAAGCACUCCGCCUGGGGAGUACGGUCGCAAGACUGAAACUCAAAGGAAUUGACGGGGGCCCGCACAAGCGGUGGAGCAUGUGGUUUAAUUCGAAGCAACGCGAAGAACCUUACCAGGUCUUGACAUCCCGGUGACCACUAUGGAGACAUAGUUUCCCCUUCGGGGGCAACGGUGACAGGUGGUGCAUGGUUGUCGUCAGCUCGUGUCGUGAGAUGUUGGGUUAAGUCCCGCAACGAGCGCAACCCUUAUUCUUAGUUGCCAUCAUUCAGUUGGGCACUCUAAGGAGACUGCCGGUGAUAAACCGGAGGAAGGUGGGGAUGACGUCAAAUCAUCAUGCCCCUUAUGACCUGGGCUACACACGUGCUACAAUGGACGGUACAAACGGUUGCCAACCCGCGAGGGGAGCUAAUCCGAUAAAACCGUUCUCAGUUCGGAUUGUAGGCUGCAACUCGCCUACAUGAAC
rnacentral:rRNA from 1 species